UCUUUUUGGCAAAAAAGUAAAAGAAAAUUAGAAAACAGACAUAAUGGUUAUGGUUAUGGAGCUGCAUCCUCAACUCUGAUUCCUCUCCUAAAUUUAGCCACGCUUUCUUCUGCAUCAUCACAAUGAGCCACGCUCUCUAUCAUAUCCACAAUGAUCCCUUAGAUCUCACAUCACAAUCCAUGUCGGUUUUAUCAAGCAUGGAGGCGCCUACUGCUGAAGUGGGCCUUUCGCCGGAGAAGAUUGAAAAUGAAAAAGAGGGAGGUCCAAUGUUCCAUUGUGAUUUACAUGAUACAGAAAUAGUUCACAAGCUUGCUCAAAUGUUCUUGCCAGGUUUAGCCUCUGCUUGUGUUGAUAACACAACUGGGGAUCCCUUUAACACUGCUGGUUCAGUUGCAGAUGAUUUGAGGAAAGAAAUGAUUGAUUAUCUUACACAGAGAAGUGAAUCGUUUGUUGCUGAGACUGUUAUCUUUGAUGAUGGUGCGGAUGGUGAAGUCUCGGAUCAUCCUUUCGAUAUUAUUUCUUGUUUUGUGGAUGACUUUGUUAAUUCAAAGAGGAAUUUGUUGAGUCAGGUUUCGGGAUGGCUGCUGAGCGAUAAGAGAGAAGAUAACAUAGAUGAUUUUGUUCAGGAGAUGGAGACUAAGGGUUUUUGGUUGUUAGAUAGAAGAGAAAAAGUUGCUGAAAAUUUGCUUAGGAAUGUUGAUUUCAAGAACUCGUUUCAUUGUAGCAUGAGUUUUAUUAACGCGGAAGAUCUUGCUAACCAUGUUGAUAAUUGCAAUUUCAAACCUGUGAUCUGCCGUAACGAGGGAUGCAAUGCGAGGUUUAGCGCUGUUUAUUUGAAGGAGCAUGAUUCAGAAUGUCCUUUUAAGAUAAUUCCAUGUGAGCAGAAGUGUACGGAUAACAUUAUGAGACGUGAGAUGGAUAGGCACUGCAUAACUGUUUGUCCGAUGAAGCUUGUGAAUUGUCCUUUCUAUGCACUCGGUUGUCGAUCGGCUAUUGCACAAUGUAUGGUUGGAAAACAUUGCUCAGAUGAUCUUCAUUCGCACUUAUUGCACUUGCUUAAAGGGAUCCACAAGGAUGCAUCCGGCGGAGAUCUUAAUCGACGAGUAGAGCGAAUUGUACAGGCAUCGUCAAACAAUAGGUUAGCAGAGGCUCGCGAUAUAAGAUCGCUAAAAGUUAUUGUAAGAGAUCUUGAAGCUAAGCUAGGGCCUUUGGAAGUCAGUGCCAUAGAGAAAACUAGUGCAGAAACAAUUGCAAAGAAUGAAAAUAGCGAAGACAUUGGCACCAAAACUAAGGGUGGUGCACAAGCUUCAACUUCAUCAGAUAAAGUUGAGGUGAAUGCUACACUGAAUAAGAAUGGCGCAGAGAAUGCAGUGAAUAAUGAAGAUAGUGAGCAUAAGGAAAAUGGAAAAAAAGGGUAAUGGGGAGAAUGAACGAGGAACAAUAAUAUUAGAAAUGAUAACACUUGUAGGAUGACAUACAAAUUUUUAGUUGAGAAGUUUUGUGUUUUUCUUAAGGUUUUGAAGAGAAGCUUGUGUGAAACUGGAUAACAUCAUGAUCUUUCUUUUGUUGAUUAGCUAAUCAUACAUUAUUUUCAUACUAACUAAAUAAUGAACUUGCUCA